UAUGGCUCAGUUUCUUUCUCUGUAAAUGGGGAUACUAAUCUCUAACUCGUCAGAUUAUGUGAGGGUUCAAUGAGAUGCCACUUUUGCAUACACUUAUUGCUGUUUCUGGCACACAGUAGGCGCUCAGUGGUAGCUCCCUCCCUCCCUCCAUGGAGACCAGCUCCUCUCAGGACCCAGCCAAAGCAGAUCUGCUUCCUUAUCAGCUCAAGACAUGACAAGUAAAGACCGAGAAGAUCUUCUAGAUGUCAGGGCAGACUGGAUUUGAGGCACAGGACGAGGACUAUGGGUUUGCCUGUUUAUCAUUCCUGGAGGCCGGAGACCAGGGGCCAACUGUGUCCAGAAACCUUGUUUUCUUGUCUCAGAGGCACUGGAGCCUGAGGUGGCUGCAGCAGUGGCAGCUGAGGUUGGGAAGUUUAAAGACCAGAGCUAAGAAGGUAGUGACCAAGAAAGUCCCCUCCAGGACUGAGAUGUCUGGGGUGGAGCAGAGUCCAGUGGGAGUCUGAAGGCACAGACUGUGCUUGGAGAGCCACAUAUCUGAGCCUUUGCCAGAGAGGACUGGGGGACCCCAGGGCCACUCCAUUGCCCUUUCUGGGCCUCAGUGUCCUCACUGUGGACAAUUGGGACUCCUAUGCUGUGACUUGGGGUAGGGGGAGGCAGAGGUCAGCUCAGCAGAGAGAACCCCAUCACUGCUGCAGCUGUGUAGCAGUGCCUUGCAGGUGGUGAGUUCCCUGUCAUUGGGGCUAUGAAAGCAGAGGCUGAGGAGGACUCCUCGAGCAUGGCUGGGAUGGAGCAGCAGACCUCCUCCUGGAAGUUCUUGUUCUUAUUUGAACUCUAAUUGUUCCAGACAGCCUCUUCAAAAGCUGGGCAGUCCUUCCUGGGUCUAACUUCACCUUCCUGCUCUGGGAGAAGCUCCUUCUCCUUGCUCUUCUUUCUCCCAGUGCCUCUAUAACCUUAACAGCCUUGGCUGCUAGGCACAGAGGAGAGGCAGAGGAGGCGUUAAAGGAGGACCAGUUCCACUCUGUGUUGGUCCUGUAGUCCUCAAUUAGGUUCCGAUAAUGAAAAUAAAUGAGGUUGGCUCCUAUCCUGGGUAGACAAAAGUUGUUGGUGAUGGAGAGGGAGUGUAGGAGCUGGAUUUUGAUUGCUUGAUUGGCUUCCUGGAGGAGGUAGGAUUCCGUGGGGGCAGUACCCUGCAGUUGUCACUCUGACCGCUGCAUGCAGGAAUGCUGUCUGCUGGCGGAUGGCCAUGGGCCAACUCCUUUCCCGGUAGCCACCUGUGCUCCACAGGUAAGGCUUCCAGGGACCGGCUGAGAGCCUGGCAGCGCUGGGCUGGCUCACUUGUGUCCCACUCUGGGGGCCAAUUAAGUCUC
ensembl:lncRNA